GCAUUGGUGGUUCAGUGGUAGAAUUCUUGCCUUCCAUGCGGGAGAUUCCGGUUUUGACUACUGGCCAAUACG
rnacentral:tRNA from 1 species